rnacentral:rRNA from 1 species
AACUUUUAACAACGGAUCUCUUGGCUCUCGCAUCGAUGAAGAACGCAGCGAAAUGCGAUAAGUAAUGUGAAUUGCAGAAUUCAGUGAAUCAUCGAAUCUUUGAACGCACCUUGCGCCCUUUGGUAUUCCGAAGGGCAUGCCUGUUUGAGUGUC